AUGGAGUCUGUUAAAGAGUGGUGGAGCCUUAAUGCAACCAACAGGACGCAAUUCCGACGACCACUCAUCUCUGUAAUGCUUCUCAUCUCAUGGGAAAUAUGGAAGGAACACAAUACAAGGGUCUUCCGCAACGUUGCGGUGCCGGUCGGAGUAAUCGUAGCUAAGAUUAAAGAGGAAUGCAUUUUAUGGGGUCUCACUGGGGCGAAGCAUCUGCGUAUUCUAAUGCCGCGAGAGUGGUGUUUUGUAAUUCGGCUGCUGGCCACAACCUCUAAACCUUCUUUCUUAUUCAAUGAAAACGGCAAAUCUUUUGCCUUGUUUCAAAAAAAAUGA
rnacentral:rRNA from 1 species